rnacentral:lncRNA from 1 species
UGGGUUUAAAAAAGCGCUUCAAGCCUUGAGGCGGUGAGGAAGGUCAAGCUCGCCUCAAAGCUAUAGCGUCGCUUCAGACCGCUUCACCAACUUAAGGCGUAGCCUGAAAAAAUACACGUAGGAUUAGUGGUUAGUCAUAGAAUCAUUCAGGUUCUUCCAUUCUUUGUCAUUAUCCUAAAUCAUUAAAAUUAAAAAUUAAUAAGUAUUCAUAAACAGAGCAUAAAACAGAGAAUUGAUCCAAUAAAGUCUUCAAAAAAAGAGAAUCUAACCAACAAAUCCUUAAAAGAAACUUAACAUAAACCUAAGUCUUCAUAGAUUUAGAAACAAAAGAUUUAUAGAACCAGAAAAAAAGAAUAUAGACUUGGAUAAGAUUCACGCUUGAAAAUAUCUAUUCAAAAAUGUAAAGACACUAAAUAGUUUGAGGUGAAUUGAAGUUUUGAAACCAUAAAAAGAAAGUGUAUAUUAUAUGUUAAUAACUUGUGAUAGGAAUCUUACCUUUAGUUGCAUAAGCGAUGAAGCGUGAGGCGUGAAAGGCGGCUUGAGGCGAGGUUGAAGCAACGCUUACUCGAAUUCGCCUCGCUUCAUCUCCUCGAGGCGGUGACCCUCCCAACCAAGGUCGCCUCACGCCUUAGCGACGCCUUAGCACGCUUUUUUAAACCCAGAACUGACUCGGCUGUCUUUUGAUUUCUGACGUAGUUUGAAGCAUUUAAGAUGACAUAUUGUUCCGUAUCUGUUAUUUACUUCCGUAUUAAAGUUUCUUUAGGUAGUUGAUCUUACUCUUCCAACUGGCAGUUUCCUUGUUCUUUGUUGUAGGGUCAUGGUCUGUUUUAUUCGGUCAUGUAUGGAUUUCUUUUGAGAGCCAAUGCUUACCAGAACAUUCCAAUGUAUAUGAUUGUUUGCGUUUCUUAGUGAGCACUUGUUAAAGUCGAUGUCAGACGACUUAUGUUCUUGAUAACUUUUUCCAACGCCAAGUUUUCUUCAUAAAUUUCCUUGUUAUUUUGGCUAGGCUUCUGUUUUGUCCGAGACACUUGCAUGCUAUGUUCUCUAUAUAUUUUUGGUUCAUAAACAACGUUAAUUGUUUCUGGUGUAAUUUUCAAAAGCAUAGAAUAUUCUCUCAAGUACCUUGGUAGCUGUAUUAGCGAAUGUUUUGCUUUGUACUAUAUUGAAAUUGUAACUCUGGUAGAAAUUUAAUUUCUUUUGACAGUCAAUCGCUAAUGGAGAUGGGCACAAAAGAUUUGAGUUUUGUGCAACUGAAUCAGUUGAUUGGAAGGAAAACGGGAGGACUAUCAGUUUAUCCUCUGACGUCAUCUGUGAGGGGAAAGGCUGAACCUUGCAGCAAAUUUGUUGUACGUGGAAAAUCAAUGGCUGGGCGUGCUGAAGACCUUUUUAACCUGGUACUUUACCUUUUAACAUCCUUUACUUCUGUGUAGAUCUUGUCUCUUUAUCUCUUCUUCUAAAUUGCGUAGACUGCCUCACUCAUCUCUUUCCCAGUGUCUUCUCUGGGAUGCACCUAAUGUGUUUUCCUGUCUUCACUAUGAGUACUUGAUUAUGGUAGACAACCACUUUGACUGGAAAACCUGUUUUGUCUGUUGGGAUAUCAUACAAUGUAACCUUGACACUGAAACGGAUAGUAUCAAUAGGGUGAUAGGUGAACUUUGUGAUUGUAUAAAUCCCUUUCAGUGCAUGUCCCUUAUUUAAUUAUGAUUCUGUCGAAGCUACUGGUUGGCUCUUAUCUUCACUCCAUUUUAUCUUGCUGCAGAUGAAUUGCUUGUUGCAAGAAGUUCAGUUUACUGAUCAGCAGCGGUUUAAACAGUUUGUCUCUCAAAGCAUAGCACGGAUGGAGGUAAGUAGUAGAAUUUUUCUCUCCAUCUUUUUCAUUAUUUAUAGAACUGAAAAUUGUAGUGUAAACAUCAUUUCUCAUUUUAUACAGAACCGAUUGAGGGGAAGUGGUCAUGGAAUCGCUGCGGCGAGGAUGGAUGCAAUGUUGAACGUUGCUGGAUUGAUGUCUGAACAGAUGGGUGGUCUCAGGUUAGAACUUGGUCAUUCUUUAUUUGACUUUUCAUUUAAACCCUUUUAAUCCUCUUCUCCUUUUAUUGUUAAACUUGAGCAUCUCUCUUUUGUAGUUACCUUGAGUUCUUGCACACUCUUGCAAAGAAGGUGGAUGAAGACUGGGAAGGGAUAUCAUCCUCACUCGAAGAGAUCAGGAGAUCUCUCCUCGCCAGGAACGGUUGCUUAGUUAACAUGACUGCAGAUGGCAAGUCUCUCACCAACAUCGAAAAAUCGGUUGAGAAGUUUCUAAACUUACUCCCUGAAACCCCAUCUGGUGGGCUCGUCACUUGGGACGGUCGACUUCCUCUGAGAAACGAAGCCAUUGUAAUACCAACUCAGGUACCCAAAAAAAGAAGACUAUUUAUACAGAAAAUGUGUUUUGGGUUUAGUGUUUUCUCAUACUCUCACUCUUUGCAGGUGAACUAUGUUGGAAAAGCUGGUAACAUUUACAGCACGGGGUAUGAGCUUGAUGGCAGUGCAUACGUUAUAUCAAAGCAUAUUAGCAACACAUGGUUAUGGGAUCGUGUUCGUGUAAGCGGUGGUGCGUAUGGAGGUUUCUGUGAUUUCGAUUCGCAUUCAGGUUUAAAAACUUCUUUUAACUUUUCUUCCUUGAAUGUAGGGUAUUAAAAGAGUUGUCCUUAAAAAUAACAUAUUGGAUCUCUCUCUCUCUUUGUUUUCAGGAGUGUUUUCGUUCUUGUCUUACCGUGAUCCAAACUUGUUGAAGACACUUGACAUAUAUGAUGGAACCGGAGACUUCUUGCGUGGGCUUGAUGUGGAUCAAGAGACGCUCACUAAAGCUAUCAUUGGAACCAUUGGUGAUGUUGAUUCGUACCAGUUACCUGAUGCCAAAGGUUAUAGCAGUUUGAUGAGGCAUUUACUUGGAGUAACAGACGAAGAACGGCAAAGAAAGCGUGAAGAGAUACUAACAACAAGGUUUGUUAACAUACAUUCUCUUAAUGAUUGAUUGUUCUCUAUAGUAUAUGGUUAAAAGUGUUGAUAUGGUUUUGAUCUUCUCUCUGUUCCACAGCUUAAAGGACUUUAAGGAGUUCGCAGAAGCAAUAGAUGUGGUUAGAGAGAAAGGUGUUGCGGUGGCAGUGGCAUCCGCAGAAGACAUUGAUGCGGCGAACCAAGCGCGUUCCAACUUUUUCGAGGUUAAGAAAGCUCUCUAAGUUGAUAACUUUUACUGUAAUAAGAAGAUUGAGAAUCUCUUUAGAUUUGUUUCUUUGCUGCAAGUGAGAGUGUCUUGGUAAAGCCUUGAUAUAUUGUUUACCCAACAUUAUGGACUUUUCACAAUAAAUGAAGCAUUUCGUUCACUUUCAACUUAUUUGCCCUGUGGAAAUCUUAAUAUCAGAAACUUUACCAAAAAUGAAUAUCGAUGUAUUAAAUGUGCGUAAGAGAGCUUUGUAGAAUAGACACUCAAAAAUUUUGCUCGAAAGCGUACCAAAACAACUAUUUGAUGCAAUAACUCUGCAAUACGAUCUUUUGGUGAUUUAAUAAAGAGUUAUUCUUGGGUUCACCAACCGAUUUCAUUAUUUCAAAUUUAAUAUCUUUUAAAAAAGAAAACAAAAUAUUGUCAAGAUAUAUUAUGUUUUUAAAUUAAAAAGUUAAAAAAAAAAAUCUUAGUUAGAGAAAAACAAAUUUAAAAAAAAAAUAUUUUUAUCAUCGUCAGCAAAACACUAAAUCCUAAUCCAUAAACCCUAAAUCAUAAAUCCUAAACCCUUGGGCAAACUCUAAACCCUUGGAUAAAUCAUAAACUCUAAAUCAAAAACACUAAAUCCUAAAACCAUAAACCCUAAAUCCUAAAUCCUAAACCCUUGAGUGUUUAGUGUUUUUGAUUUGGAGUUUAGGAUUUAUCUAAGGAUUUAGGGUUUACCCAAGGGUUUAGGAUUUAGGAUUUAGGGUUUAGAGAUUAGAAUUUUGGGUUUAGUAUUUUGCUGAGGACAUUAAAAAUAUAUUUUUUAAACUACUAUUUUUUUUUUAAAUUUAUUUCUUUUACCUUUAUAUUUUAAAAAUAUAAUAUAACAUAUAGCUUGAGAAAAUAUUUUGUUUUCUUUUUUAAAAGAUUUCGAAUAUGAAAUAAUACAAUCCUAUUGGUUGGUGAACCUAGAGGUUCACCCCCUAGGGUUUAGGGUGAACCCAAGAAUAAGUCUUUAAAAAACAAGGAAACGUUCUCUUUCUAAAACACGUUCUCUCUCUAAACCCUCUCCAAAAAGAAUUCCCGAUCUUGCCUCCGGCGGUCUCUUUCCCUUUUCACCGUCGGAGGGCGCCUCCUCCUCCCUUCCUCUCCGUUUUCCUUUGCUUCAUCUUCCCCCUUAGCCGCUCUUCGAUAUGCGGCUUUCCCUGGAGCUCGAACGUUCGCCGGCGGAGGAGCCUAAGCCAACUCUGGCGGUCGCCUCGUUCCUCUGGUGACGCUGCAAGACUGGUGUACGACGGCGGGAAGUUGAAGUCGGUUCUUUGGAUAGGGUUUCGGCUGGAGUCGAUUUUCUCUUUUUAGAUCUACGCGAAACUCUGCGUAUGGCGGCGCGUGGCUACGGUGGGGGACUCCUCCGACCCGGAUCUGUCCUUUCCUCCGGUUGUUUCUAUUUUUUGUUGUCCCGGUGGAGUGGUUGUGUCGGUCUUUGUUUUGACUAGUUCGAGUUGUUGUUUAGAUUUUAUUUUCUUUUUCCGUUUCUUGUCGUCAUUGUUCUUUUGUCAAAAACUUGAAAAUUGGUAAUAAUAUCUUUACAUUUUUACCAAAAAAAAAAACUCUGCAAUACAAAAUAAAUUUUCAAAAUAAUUCUGGAGUAAACUUUUCCAAAAAAUCUACAUUUAAAUCUAAAUUACUUUACCUAAUAAUUGUACCAAAAGUUAACAACUUGCAUCUAUAUCAAUACGUGUUUUAAUUUUGAAACAAAUAUCCGUAAUAGUUACAUAUUUCCUGGUUAGUAUUAUUUACAAAAUGAAAAUCUCUAUAACAGAAUUGGAUUUAAAUGGAAAUUAAAUUUAGGUUUAGAACUUUUUUUUAAUUUAGGUUUAGAUUUAUAUUUAGGAAAAUAAAUCUUAAAGUAUUAUAUAGCCGUUGUCGAAUUGCAUUUAGGAAAGUGUAGUUUUCAAAAAAUAAAAUAAAAGAUUUAAUUUUCAAAUUUCAAACUGUUAAUGGAGUAAAUUUAAAAUUAUCCCUUUAUUUAGUAUAUAUAUAUAUAUAUAUAUAUCUACUUAUAAAUGUAUAUAUACUAUACCGGUAUUCUCGCAUAUGUUUAUCUCUAUUUUCAACCAUCAGUAAAUUAUUUUAAAAGUUGGAUAUCUUCAUAUACAAAAUAGUAAAAUGUACAAAAUAAUAUAAUUUAACAUAUACAAAAAAUAUGAAUUUUUAUUAUAUCUCUAAUGUGAUUAUUCAAUUUAUGUUAAUAAUAUAAAAUUAAACAAAAAUAAUAGAUGAUACACAAAUUGUUAUCAAAUCUUUCUUAUUUAAAUUAAUUAAUUAUCAGAUAUUUUUUAGUCAUAUUAGAUAAUUCCGUAACUUUUAUUUAAGAAAAAAAUAGAUAAUUUUUUUUUGUAGAUUGCUAAUUAAUUUUAUGGUUAAAUUAAGAGGAUUAAUAAUAAAUAUAGUUUAUGUUUAUUGACCAACAUAUCUGUUUAAAAAUUCUAAAAAUUAUUCUAAUGAUGACAAUCGGCAUAUUUUACAUAUUGUAAUGCUUCUCAGUUAUUAUAUAGAUAUCUAACCUUAUAAACAACUUUUCAAAGAUCCUUUUUGUUUUUGUGUUUGUUAUCAGUGUAUAAAAAGCAUACCACUAAUAGACUCAUGAGCAGAUCUAGAUAGAGGUUAUAGAAGAAAACAUAAACAACAUUUGUCUCCUUCCGGGUAGACAUGCAAGCACUUACCUCUUUCUUCGUCUCUCGUUCCCUCGUCCCGACCACUCCAAGGCGACCUCGAGUGCGACCACUAUCAGUACC